rnacentral:tRNA from 1 species
CCCACGCUAGCUCAGCCUGGUAGAGCUUCCGGCUGUAGACCGGAGUGUCGCAAGUUCGAAUCCUGCGCGUGGGACCA